GAUGAAGAACGCAGCGAAAUGCGAUAAGUAGUGUGAAUUGCAGAAUUCAGUGAAUCAUCGAGUCUUUGAACGCACAUUGCGCCCCCUGGUAUUCCGGGGGGCAUGCCUGUCCGAGCGUCAUUGCUGCCCUCAAGCCCGGCUUGUGUGUUGGGUCUCGUCCCCCUUCCCGGGGGGACGGGCCCGAAAGGCAGCGGCGGCACCGCGUCCGGUCCUCGAGCGUAUGGGGCUUUGUCACCCGCUCUGUAGGCCCGGCCGGCGCUUGCCGAUCAACCAAAACUUUUUUCCAGGUUGACCUCGGAUCAGGUAGGGAUACCCGCUGAACUUAAGCAUAUCAAUAAGCGGAGGA
rnacentral:misc_RNA from 1 species